GCUGGGUGUGAUGGUGCAUGCCUGUAGUCCCAGUUACUCGGGAGGCUGAGGUGGGAGGAUUGCUUGAACACAGGAGGUCAAGGCUGGAGUGAGCUGUGACUGCACCACUGCACUCUAGCCUGGGUGACAGGGCAAGAUCCUGCCUCUU
rnacentral:SRP_RNA from 1 species